rnacentral:rRNA from 1 species
CGGAGGGUGCAAGCGUUAUCCGGAUUCACUGGGUUUAAAGGGUGUGUAGGCGGGCAGUUAAGUCAGUGGUGAAAUCUCCGGGCUCAACCCGGAAACUGCCAUUGAUACUAAUUGUCUUGAAUAUCGUUGAGGCAGGCGGAAUAUGUCAUGUAGCGGUGAAAUGCAUAGAUAUGACAUAGAACACCAAUUGCGAAGGCAGCUUGCUAAACGAUCAUUGACGCUGAGGCACGAAAGCGUGGGGAUCAAACAGGAUUAGAUACCCUGGUAGUCCACGCCCUAAACGAUGAUUACUCGACAUACGCGAUACACAGUGUGUGUCUGAGCGAAAGCAUUAAGAAUCCACCUGGGAAGUACGUCCGCAAGGAUG